CCCACCCAAAAAAAACUGUAAAUUGAAUAUGCAGAGUACUACUUACUUCACACUACCACUUAAAUAUCAUACCAAAACCACACUUCACAUACCCACGGGAAGGCAAAUGAAGUCGGCAAUACCAAAACCAAUGUUUGCAUAUGCCCCAUUUUCAUCAUAUAGUUUUGUAUCAGUGUCUAUAAACACUUUUUACUCCCUUUCAAUAUUUUGAAAGGAACUGCAUAAUAAGGUUCUUACAGUUUGAAAAACCCAUUCACGAUACAAACUGGCACAACAAAUUAUCAAAAAUAGAUUAAAAUAUCCUACUUUUUAGAGAUAGCAACACAGAAUCGUGAAUAUAUCCCCAUUAGUUAAUGUCAGAUUAAGCAAACUCACUCAAGCAGUACUGCUAUGAUGUCUUGGCACCGUGUAGCAGAGAAAGAAAUUGAAUGCUUAAUGUCAAGGCCACUGGAGCAGAGAAACAUAUUAGAAGGCACUCUUGAAUUCACUUUGCUUCAAUGGGAUGCUAAAUUCUUCCAAAUCAAUCCUCUUCAUCACUUUGGCUUUCUUCAGUAGACUAUUCUCAACAGCUCUCUGCAGCACCUACAAGAAGAAAUUCUUUCAGCAUCAAGUAAACACAACCAAAUUAAGGAAAAAUAAAAGCCAAAAUCAAGUACUUUCUUGAUACUUCUACAAGAGGCAUCUUUUGAACAACACCGGUAAAAACACCAUCUUCAUAUUCUUCAGCUUUCAAUACAUCUGUGAGAAAAAUCGAGGUAGAUGCCACUAAAGCCCUCAAGUAUAUCUAGGUAACAUAUCACACUCCCUCUUCUCAUAAAUUCCCCCUAUUAACAUCUCAGACAAAUCUCUACUCUACUCUGUACAAAACACCUUCUUGUGUCUGGAUAUGCUCACACGAUCUUAUUAUGAUCUCCUAUUGAGCUCUAAAAAUAAUUCAUAGAAUUGGCUGUUUGCACAGCUCCUAAUCGUUACCCCUGAAAUACAACAUACAGGGAAAAACAAAAAACAACUCAUUUUAAAUUCAUGUUGAAAACAGUUUCUCUUAGGAUACUCAAUUCACUGGGAAACCAUUCGCACCAGCACAUUAAUUAUCAGAAGCUCAAAAGUAUUGAAUUGCAGUCACUGUAAUGCUAGGUUAGCUGGUCAGUUGGAAUAGAAAGGAAUUAUUGAAUUGUUUAAGAUGUUAGCAGCUCUUGUAAGCACGAAAAACAGAAUGAACCACAAACAUUUAUAGACCAAGGGAGCACGCUGGCAGAUUCUACACAUUAUACUGUAUUGCAAGAUUGUAUAGGCGAAAUCUUUGGAAGAUAGAAAAAUUGUUCAUUCCCACAUGAUCAAAUCUGGACAUAACCAGGAAGUAUUUGCUCAAAACAGCCUUAUUAAUGUGUAUGCCAAAUGUGGAAGUUUGACAGGUGUAUCCCAAGUGUUCGACAAAAUGUCUGAAAUAAAUUCAUUCUCAUGGGCUUCAAUGACUGCAGCAUAUGUUCAGACGAGGCAUUUUGGACAGGCCUUGAAGCUAUAUUCUGCCAUGCAACGGAUAUACCUGAGGCGGGUUGUAUGAAGAGGCUCUAGAACUCUUUGGGUACAUGAAAAAAGAAGACUUGGAUUGAGACUAUACCACCAUGGCCACAGUUGUAGAGUAUGUGCAAACCUUUGAACAGGAUUGCAGGUUGUGGAGCAUAUCGGUUGAGGAAGUCGGUUUGCAGGGAGGCAGUCAUGUUUUAAAAUUAUCACAAAUCGGCAUGAAAAUUCUGCACGAAAUAAAUCUGACGUGGUAGUUCCGGCGUGAGGAUACUGAAUUCAGGUGGACUAUGUCCACCAUAUAUAGCCUACUAUUAGGCAAAUUCAAAAACCCAAUUGUAAGUUUUGACAAAUUUGUACAUACGACAUUGUACUGAAAAUUGAAAACUUAUAAGCAUUUGGAUUAAUUUAUUUAGUAUACUUUCAGAGAAGAUAGCGUAGAUCAAUUUAAUUGUUGUGCGAACCCAUUUACGAACUUAUUAGAAUAUGUUUGUUAUGCAUGUAGAAUCC